AUUGAACGCUAGCGGGAUGCCUAACACAUGCAAGUCGAACGAGUGGCGGACGGGUGAGUAAUGUAUGGGAAACUGCCUGAUGGCGGGGGAUAACUACUGGAAACGGUAGCUAAUACCGCAUACCAUCAGAUGUGCCCAUAUGGGAUUAGCUUGUUGGUGGGGUAACGGCUCACCAAGGCGACGAUCCCUAGCUGGUCUGAGAGGAUGACCAGCCACACUGGAACUGAGACACGGCCCAGACUCCUACGGGAGGCAGCAGUGGGGAAUAUUGCACAAUGGGCGAAAGCCUGAUGCAGCCAUGCCGCGUGUAUGAUGAAGGCCUUCGGGUUGUAAAGUACUUUUAGCAGGGAGGCGGUACCUGCAGAAGAAGCACCGGCUAACUACGUGCCAGCAGCCGCGGUAAUUC
rnacentral:rRNA from 1 species